rnacentral:rRNA from 1 species
AGUGAACGCUGGCGGUAGGCCUAACACAUGCAAGUCGAACGGCAGCACAGAGGAGCUUGCUCCUUGGGUGGCGAGUGGCGGACGGGUGAGGAAUACAUCGGAAUCUACUCUGUCGUGGGGGAUAACGUAGGGAAACUUACGCUAAUACCGCAUACGACCUACGGGUGAAAGCAGGGGAUCUUCGGACCUUGCGCGAUUGAAUGAGCCGAUGUCGGAUUAGCUAGUUGGCGGGGUAAAGGCCCACCAAGGCGACGAUCCGUAGCUGGUCUGAGAGGAUGAACAGCCACACUGGAACGGAGACACGGUCCAGACUCGUGCGGGAGGCAGCAGUGGGGAAUAUUGGGCAAUGGGCGCAAGCCUGAUCCAGCCAUGCCGCGUGGGUGAAGAAGGCCUUCUGGUUGUAAAGCCCUUUUGUUGGGAAAGAAAUCCAUCUGGUUAAUACCCGGGUGGGAUGACGGUACCCAAAGAAUAAGCACCGGCUAACUUCGUGCCAGCCGCCGCCGUAA